CGCCGCUCCCGCUUCGUCGUCCGAGCAAAAGCGGAACCUUCAGAGAAGUCUGUUGAGAUUAUGAGGAAGUUCUCAGAGCAGUAUGCCCGUCGCUCAGGAACAUACUUUUGUGUUGAUAAAGGUGUCACAUCUGUAGUUAUCAAGGGACUUGCUGAUCACAAGGACUCUCUGGGAGCACCGUUAUGUCCUUGUAGGCAUUACGACGACAAAGCUGCUGAAGCAGGGCAAGGUUUCUGGAACUGUCCCUGUGUACCUAUGCGAGAAAGGAAGGAGUGCCACUGUAUGCUUUUUCUCACCCCAGAUAAUGAUUUUGCGGGGAGCGAGCAGACCAUUACCUUGGAUGAGAUAAAGGAAACAACCAAG
rnacentral:misc_RNA from 1 species